GUGGGGAAUAUUGGACAAUGGGCGAAAGCCUGAUCCAGCCAUGCCGCGUGUGUGAAGAAGGUCUUCGGAUUGUAAAGCACUUUAAGUUGGGAGGAAGGGUUGUAGAUUAAUACUCUGCAAUUUUGACGUUACCGACAGAAUAAGCACCGGCUAACUCUGUGCCAGCAGCCGCGGUAAUACAGAGGGUGCAAGCGUUAAUCGGAAUUACUGGGCGUAAAGCGCGCGUAGGUGGUUUGUUAAGUUGGAUGUGAAAGCCCCGGGCUCAACCUGGGAACUGCAUCCAAAACUGGCAAGCUAGAGUACGGUAGAGGGUGGUGGAAUUUCCUGUGUAGCGGUGAAAUGCGUAGAUAUAGGAAGGAACACCAGUGGCGAAGGCGACCACCUGGACUGAUACUGACACUGAGGUGCGAAAGCGUGGGGAGCAAACAGGA
rnacentral:rRNA from 1 species